rnacentral:rRNA from 1 species
CGAACGCUGGCGGCGUGCCUAAUACAUGCAAGUAGAACGCACAGUUUAUACCGUAGCUUGCUACACCAUAAACUGUGAGUUGCGAACGGGUGAGUAACGCGUAGGUAACCUGCCUGGUAGCGGGGGAUAACUAUUGGAAACGAUAGCUAAUACCGCAUAAUAUUGAUUAUUGCAUGAUAAUUGAUUGAAAGAUGCUAUUGCAUCACUACCAGAUGGACCUGCGUUGUAUUAGCUAGUAGGUGAGGUAACGGCUCACCUAGGCGACGAUACAUAGCCGACCUGAGAGGGUGAUCGGCCACACUGGGACUGAGACACGGCCCAGACUCCUACGGGAGGCAGCAGUAGGGAAUCUUCGGCAAUGGACGAAAGUCUGACCGAGCAACGCCGUGUGAGUGAAGAAGGUUUUCGGAUCGUAAAGCUCUGUUGUAAGAGAAGAACGGGUGUGAGAGUGGAAAGUUCACACUGUGACGGUAUCUUACCAGAAAGGGACGGCUAACUACGUG